UACGUAGGGUGCGAGCGUUAAUCGGAAUUACUGGGCGUAAAGCGUGCGCAGGCGGUGAUGUAAGACCGAUGUGAAAUCCCCGGGCUUAACCUGGGAACUGCAUUGGUGACUGCAUCGCUCGAGUAUGGCAGAGGGGGGUAGAAUUCCACGUGUAGCAGUGAAAUGCGUAGAGAUGUGGAGGAACACCGAUGGCGAAGGCAGCCCCCUGGGUCAAGAUUGACGCUCAUGCACGAAAGCGUGGGGAGCAAACAGG
rnacentral:rRNA from 1 species